rnacentral:snRNA from 1 species
AUACUUACCUGGCAGGGGAGGUACCAUGAUCAUGAAGGUGGUUUUCGCAGGGCGAGGCUUAUCCAUUGCACUCUGGAUGUGCUGACCCCUGCAAUUUUCCCAAAUGUGGGAAACUCGACUGCAUAAUUUGUGGUAGUGGGGGACUGCAUUCACGCUCUCCAA